GGAAAGUUGUCUGAGAGGUUUAAGGUGCUUGUUUGCUAAACAAGUGAUGUGAAAGCAUCCACAGGUUCGAAUCCUGUACUUUCCG
rnacentral:tRNA from 1 species